GUGGCUGUGACUCAGCGGCAGAGAGCUUGCCUCACACACAGGAGGCCCUAGGUUCAAGUCCUAGUACCACC
rnacentral:tRNA from 1 species